rnacentral:pre_miRNA from 1 species
CAACUACUCCCUCUGUCCCAAAUUUCUUGUCUUAAAUUUGUCUAGAUACGGAUGUAUCUAAUACUAAAAUGUGACUUGAUACAUCCGUAUCUAGACAAAUCUAAGACAAGAAUUUUGGGACAGAGGGAGUACUUU